GACGAACGCUGGCGGCGUGCUUAACACAUGCAAGUCGAACGGAAAGGCCCUGCUUUUGUGGGGUGCUCGAGUGGCGAACGGGUGAGUAACACGUGAGUAACCUGCCCUUGACUUUGGGAUAACUUCAGGAAACUGGGGCUAAUACCGGAUAGGAGCUCCCGCUGCAUGGUGGGGGUUGGAACGUUUCGGCGGUCGGGGAUGGACUCGCGGCUUAUCAGCUUGUUGGUGGGGUAGUGGCUUACCAAGGCUUUGACGGGUAGCCGGCCUGGGAGGGUGACCGGCCACAUGGGGACUGAGAGACGGCCCAGACUCCUACGGGAGGCAGCAGUGGGGAAUAUUGCACAAUGGGCGGAAGUCUGAUGCAGCAACGCCGCGUGCGGGAUGACGGCCUUCGGGUUGUAAACCGCUUUCGCCUGUGACGAAGCGUGAGUGACGGUAAUGGGUAAAGAAGCACCGGCUAACUACGUG
rnacentral:rRNA from 1 species